GAUGAACGCUGGUGGCGUGCCUAACACAUGCAAGUCGAGCGAUUCUCUUCGGAGAAGAGCGGCUGACGGGUGAGUAACGCGUGGGUAACCUGCCCUGUACACACGGAUAACAUACCGAAAGGUAUGCUAAUACGAGAUAACAUGCUUUUAUCGCAUGGUAGAAGUAUCAAAGCUUUUGCGGUACAGGAUGGACCCGCGUCUGAUUAGCUAGUUGGUGAUGUAACGGCUCACCAAGGCGACGACCAGUAGCCGACCUGAGAGGGUGAUCGGCCACAUUGAAACUGAGACACGGUCCAGACUCCUACGCGAGGCAGCAGUGGGGAAUAUUGCACAAUGGGCGAAAGCCUGAUGCAGCAACGCCGCGUGAGCGAUGAAGGCCUUCGGGUCGUAAAGCUCUGUCCUCAAGGAAGAUAAUGACGGUACUUGAGGAGGAAGCCCCGGCUAACUACGUG
rnacentral:rRNA from 1 species